AGUCGAACGAUGAACCUCACUUGUGGGGGGAUUAGUGGCGAACGGGUGAGUAACACGUGAGUAACCUGCCCUUAACUCUGGGAUAAGCCUUGGAAACGGGGUCUAAUACUGGAUAUUGACUUUACCUCGCAUGGGGUUUGGUUGAAAGAUUUAUUGGUUUUGGAUGGACUCGCGGCCUAUCAGCUUGUUGGUGAGGUAAUGGCUCACCAAGGCGACGACGGGUAGCCGGCCUGAGAGGGUGACCGGCCACACUGGGACUGAGACACGGCCCAGACUCCUACGGGAGGCAGCAGUGGGGAAUAUUGCACAAUGGGCGAAAGCCUGAUGCAGCGACGCCGCGUGAGGGAUGACGGCCUUCGGGUUGUAAACCUCUUUCAGUAGGGAACAAGGCCAGUGUUUAGCUGGUUGAGGGUACUUGCAGAAGAAGCGCCGGCUAACUACGUGCCAGCAGCCGCGGUAAUACGUAGGGCGCAAGCGUUAUCCGGAAUUAUUGGGCGUAAAGAGCUCGUAGGCGGUUUGUCGCGUCUGCCGUGAAAGUCCGGGGCUCAACCCCGGAUCUGCGGUGGGUACGGGCAGACUAGAGUGAUGUAGGGGAGACUGGAAUUCCUGGUGUAGCGGUGAAAUGCGCAGAUAUCAGGAGGAACACCGAUGGCGAAGGCAGGUCUCUGGGCAUUAACUGACGCUGAGGAGCGAAAGCAUGGGGAGCGAACAGGAUUAGAUACCCUGGUAGUCCAUGCCGUAAACGUUGGGCACUAGGUGUGGGGGACAUUCCACGUUUUCCGCGCCGUAGCUAACGCAUUAAGUGCCCCGCCUGGGGAGUACGGCCGCAAGGCUAAAACUCAAAGGAAUUGACGGGGGCCCGCACAAGCGGCGGAGCAUGCGGAUUAAUUCGAUGCAACGCGAAGAACCUUACCAAGGCUUGACAUGAACUGGAAACACUUGGAAACAAGUGCCCCGCUUGC
rnacentral:rRNA from 1 species